rnacentral:lncRNA from 10 species
GGGCAGCCCCUGGCCCAGACUUGGAAACUAGGGUGAGCUAAGCUGAGAUCAGAAAGAUAAGAACCUCACCAGACUAGGGUGUGGGCACAGGCAGGGGCCAGUGAACAGCAUAUGUAAGAGUCCUGAGGCAGAGCUGAAUUGGAGGACCAGAAAGAAGGCCAGCGUGAGUGGAGUCCCAAGGGAGGAGACAGAGAAGUGGCCAGGGCCAGGUGAGAAGGACCCAGUAGACUGUGCCCAGCCUGGAUGGCAAAAGCGACAGACCCUCCCUCAGAGGGACAAGGAUGAGACGGCCGAACCAGUGCUCCUGCCCGGGCUCCACAGGCCCCUUUCCUCGCUGGCCCCACUGGAGAGGCAGGGGUUAAGCUCCAUGGCCUGUCCCCUCUGUCACACAUGUACCCUGCCAUCUCUGGGCUCAACUGUCGCUGCGCUGUAUCGGGACUCCAUCAGAGAGGCUCAGGCAGCAGCUUGCAGUGUUCAGGCCGGCGGUCUCGAGGGUGGCGAGUUCUUGCACUCCUACAACAGCGCUUGAGGACGGCUCUGUCCGCUGGCCUAUGCUGCAGCCUCCUCCUGCCCCUGCGGCAGAGGAGGGAGAGCCGUGGGCACAGCUAGCACUAGCACGUGUGGGUUCAGAGGUCUGAGCGGCCACUUCCCGCUUCCAGACCUCGGAUGCGACGCUCAUCUGCACGGUGUGGGCAGAGAUAACAUCCUCCCCAGAACAGCAUGGAAAUGUUUCAGCAGGGUGCUCGGCUUAGAUAAGUGCUCGGCAAACCAGAGUUGCCAUCAUGAUUCCCCCACGGCCCUCAAUCCUCUCCUCCCUGCAAAGCGUGCAUCCUUUUUUACCCCAUCUUCCACCCCUCCCAAUUUCCCUUUUGGCCUCAUCUUGGAGGCUGUAAGUCAGGGUGAAUCAUUCAUCAAAAUAUCUCACUCUUCCUCUUCCAGGGUUCCUGAUAUAAUUACCUCCCUCUUCGGUUUUGCUCCUGAUCCCUCUUCUGUUUUUUUCUGUGUGAACUUUAUUUUAACCAUCCUUUGUGUCUGUGAAUGUUUUUUUUUUUU